rnacentral:rRNA from 1 species
CGAAUUAGUGGGACUGCCGUUGUUAAAACGGAGGAAGGAAGGGGNUACGGCAGGUCAGUAUGNCCCCGAAACUCUGGGGCCACACGCGGGCUGCAAUGGUAGUGACAAUGAGUUCCAAACUCGAAAGAGAGUGGCAAUCUCUAAACGCUACCACAGUUAUGACUGAGGGCUGUAACUCGCCCUCACGAAUAUGGAAUCCCUAGUAACCGCGUGUCAUUACCGCGCGGUGAAUACGUCCCUGCUCCUUGCACACACCGCCCGUCGUUUCAUCGAAGUUUGCUUUUAGCGAGGUGAUGUUUAAUUGGCAUUAUCGAACUUGAGGUAAGCGACGAGGGAAAAGUCGUAACAAGGUA